CCUACGGGUGGCAGCAGUGGGGAAUAUUGGGCAAUGGGCGCAAGCCUGACGCAGCAACGCCGCGUGAAGGAAGAAGGCUUUCGGGUUGUAAACUUCUGUUCUCAGGGACGAAGCAAGUGACGGUACCUGGGGAAUAAGCCACGGCUAACUAAGUGCCAGCAGCCGCGGUAAUACGUAGGUGGCAAGCGUUAUCCGGAUUUACUGGGUGUAAAGGGCGCGUAGGCGGGGACGCAAGUCAGAUGUGAAAACCACGGGCUCAACCUGUGGCGGGCAUUGGAAACUGUGUUUCUUGAGUACUGGAGAGGAAGACGGAAUUCCUAGUGUAGCGGUGAAAUGCGCAGAUAUUAGGAGGAACACCAGUGGCGAAGGCGGUUUGCUGGACAGUAACUGACGCUGAGGCGCGAAAGCGUGGGGAGCAAACAGGAUUAGAUACCCGAGUAGUC
rnacentral:rRNA from 1 species